GCCAGGUGUGGUGGCGUGCGCCUGUAAUCCCAGCUACUCGGGAGGCUGAGGCAGAGGAAUUGCUUGAACCAGGGAGGUGGAGGUUGCAGUGAGCCUCUGUCUCACCACUGCACUCCAGCCUGGGUGACAGAGCGAGCCUCUGUCUCAA
rnacentral:SRP_RNA from 1 species